rnacentral:rRNA from 1 species
GAGCGGCAAGUUAGGUAGUAAUACUUGACCUAGAGCGGCGCACGGGUGCGUAACGCGUAUGCAACCUACCUUUUACUGGGGGAUAGCCCGGAGAAAUCUGGAUUAAUACCCCAUAGUACCUAAGGAUCGAUUGGUCUUUAGUUUAAAGAUUUAUCGGUAAAAGAUGGGCAUGCGUCUGAUUAGCUAGUUGGCGGGGUAACGGCCCACCAAGGCGACGAUCAGUAGGGGUUCUGAGAGGAAGGUCCCCCACACUGGCACUGAGAUACGGGCCAGACUCCUACGGGAGGCAGCAGUAGGGAAUAUUGGGCAAUGGUCGCAAGACUGACCCAGCCAUGCCGCGUGCAGGAAGACGGCCCUCUGGGUUGUAAACUGCUUUUAUCUGGGAAGAAAAAGUCCAUGCGUGGAAAAUUGCCGGUACCAGAUGAAUAAGCACCGGCUAACUCCGUGCCAGCAGCCGCGGUAAUACGGAGGGUGCAAGCGUUGUCCGGAUUUAUUGGGUUUAAAGGGUGCGUAGGCGGCUGAAUAAGUCAGCGGUGAAAGACUUUGGCUUAACCGGAGCAGUGCCGUUGAUACUGUUUAGCUUGAGUGUUGGAGGGGUACAUGGAAUUGAUGGUGUAGCGGUGAAAUGCAUAGAUACCAUCAGGAACACCGAUAGCGAAGGCAUUGUACUGGCCAACAACUGACGCUGAGGCACGAAAGUGUGGGGAUCGAACAGGAUUAGAUACCCUGGUAGUCCACACUGUAAACGAUGAUUACUCGCUGUUAUGCUGUAUAGUGUAGCGGCCAAGCGAAAGCGUUAAGUAAUCCACCUG